GAUGAACGCUGGCGGCGUGCCUAAUACAUGCAAGUCGAGCGAACGGACGAGAAGCUUGCUUCUCUGAUGUUAGCGGCGGACGGGUGAGUAACACGUGGAUAACCUACCUAUGAGACUGGGAUAACUUCGGGAAACCGGAGCUAAUACCGGAUAAUAUUUUGAACCGCAUGGUUCAAAAGUAAAAGACGGUCUUGCUGUCACUUAUAGAUGGAUCCGCGCUGCAUUAGCUAGUUGGUAAGGUAACGGCUUACCAAGGCAACGAUGCAUAGCCGACCUGAGAGGGUGAUCGGCCACACUGGAACUGAGACACGGUCCAGACUCCUACGGGAGGCAGCAGUAGGGAAUCUUCCGCAAUGGGCGAAAGCCUGACGGAGCAACGCCGCGUGAGUGAUGAAGGUCUUCGGAUCGUAAAACUCUGUUAUUAGGGAAGAACAUAUGUGUAAGUAACUGUGCACAUCUUGACGGUACCUAAUCAGAAAGCCACGGCUAACUACGUG
rnacentral:rRNA from 1 species